AUGACCUUACUUGAACAAGAUCUGUUCUAUAGGCUCGUACCACUGUGUCCUUGAGUGUUAAGGAGACAUGCAACACAGUCUGGUUGAUGACAUGAAAUCUCGAGAUCAGGGCAUGAUUAAUGGCUAAGGUUCCUUGGAACCGACUGCUGUGGAGGAUUGGUUCUUAGCAAAUCCUGGAUCUGCUGGGGUGGUCUUGAGAUUAUCUGACAGAUC